rnacentral:rRNA from 1 species
AGACGGUGGCNGGAACUGUGGCGUGAAGAUGGUGUCUAUCGGUGUGGCUCGCUCGCGUAAGUUCUCCUGAGUGAGGCUCCAUCCCAUGGAGGGUGCAAGGCCCGUGUCGUGAGCAGCCGUCGCCGAUGUGCGCUAUCAGAGAGUCGCCUUGUUUGCGAGUACAAGGUGAAGUCGGUGGUAAACUCCAUCGAAGGCUAAAUAUGACCACGAGUCCGAUAGCGAACAAGUACCGUGAGGGAAAAUUGAAAAGCACUUUGAAGAGAGAGCGAAACAGUGCGUGAAACCGCUCAGAGGCAAGCAGAUGGGGCCUCGAAGGCAGAGCCGCGAAUUCNGCCGGUGGUCCNUGCGGUGGGUCGGGAUGUGAGAUCGCAAGACUCUGCCCGGCUCUACUGGUGCGGCUACCGGUGCACUUUCGCGGCUUGUACGCCACCGCCGUUAGGGAGCGUCCGCCGGGCCGACGUGCGGAGCCUAGCUGUCUUCGGGCAGUUGGUGUCUCGCUGUUGGUCUGUGCGCGAUCGCGCUCUAACCGGUCAUGUCAGCAUGUGCCAGCGUUUGCGCUGGGUCGGCCGGCUCCGGUCGGGCUGUAUGGGGAUGACGAGCUUGCUC